AGACAUCAGAUCUUGUUUUCCUAUGGAAAUGUAUCUAUUGAUUUUAUAUAUAUAUAUAUCUAUAUAUAUUAUUUUUGCAAAUCUUACAGAGUACGGCCAGCUUAGCUGGUCAGAAAAGAGAAUACCCGGAGGACUGACUCCCCCGUCCCCCCCCCCCCCGCCUUGUGGUUCGGGUCUGCCCUUGAUGGGGACAGAAACCCGGCGGGUCUUGGUUGAGAAGGGGAGAGAGGGGGGCGGGCUUUUAAAAAAUAGUGGCGUGGAAGGAAAAGCCGUUUCUCCCUCUGCCUCGGUCCCUUUCCUUCCUCCCUCCCUCCGCCCUCCCCCGCCCGUCCCUGCUUUCCUGCUGCUGUUUUCUGAACCUCCCCCUCCACAGGGUUCAGCCUGUUAGAGAAUCUUGGACUUUGUGACCUGGAAGCCUCCUGUG